rnacentral:tRNA from 1 species
GGCCCCUUGGCGAAAGCGGUAGACGCGGGGGACUUAAAAUCCCCGGCCCGAGAGGGCGUCCAGGUUCGAGUCCUGGAGGGGCUA